GGAUACCGUACGUUUUUGGUCUCUGUGUUAUGGUGGUGGAGGUGGUGGUGUAGCUGUAGGGUGUAAAGUAUGAGCAGUUGGUGGAUCCUGAUCCUGAGCUCAAAUCUUGCCAAUGGCAGGUCGCAUUGGAAGUUGGCACCUGAAAUGCAACUUUUUCAAGGCUAAAAAACCAAAGUCCAAAUAUCUCAUGGUCAUGGGCCUAGACCAACGUCAUCUUGAACUCCGUGGAAUGCCCUACCCUGCCAGUUCACGGUUCUACAAGACCCAUUUGGAACUUGUAAACAUUCAUGUCGCAAUUCGCUAAAAUCUGCACAAAAUCUGCACAAAUGUCAAGCGGCUUGAGUCUUAUUCAAAGUUCAAACCUAUAUUUCAGAGGAGAAAUAAAUAUACUAAAACAGUGCUUGUGAAACAAAACUGUAAUUAGCACGAGCUUUGAGUAUCUCUAUAAUAAAACGCUCCCAUUGGAUAUUUUCUUUUUCUUUUUGUCUCUGUUUUUUUCUCUUGCUGCAAAAUAUUCCAUUUUCUGGUGGGUAUUUAACUCGUACGUUUAUACUUCCCGCUGUCUUUUGCUUUUACACGCUUUGUUUUUACCAUUUGGUUCUUGUUCUCGCUGCUUGCAUUGAUGCAGUAUCGUUAGGUGGGCAGAUGGGGGCUCCACUAAUUUUGUAGCUUUCUCUGUUUCUUUUUACCCCACCGCCUUCUUCUCUCUCUGUUUUAUUUUUGCCUACGUUUGUGGGGGGAUAAAUCGGUGACCCUGUUGCAGAACCCAAAUCACAGAGAAACAAAGAAAGCCAGAGUCUUCCAAGGGGGGAAAAAUUGCUUCUUUUUCUUCAAGGUGUUUAUGCAAAUACGUCGAGACUUGUUAUUACUUUAUAUCUCUCUUUCUUUGUCCGUUGCUUACCCCAGAAAACACACUCUGUUUCAGGGUUGUUUGAAUUGCAAGAACAUGCAAUUUCUUGUCUUUUGCUUCUCAUUCAUUUCAACCAUUCAGAGUUUUAGCUUAAACUCAUCAUCACCCGCUCGCUUCCCGCCGUAAUAGACAUGCAAAUGAUGUUUCUAACCAGUUUUCUUGUGUGGAUCUAGCUUCAUGGAUCUGUAAAGCUACUUAGCGUACAUCUUAUUCGUGCUUUGAUUUGCAGUUUAUUUCUUGAUUUCCCUCUCCAGAUCAAUUUUUUUUUGCCGUUUCUUUCGUUUUAUCCAGAUUUUAGUCCUCUUUUUUUACUGUAAUUGGAAAUUUUUAAUCUUUUGGGUCCUAAUGUCUUCAUUUGGUUUACUGAUGUUGAAUGAUUAAUAUAAAUAUACAAGCUUUGUUAUUUUUUUCUCAUUUUUUUGGUAAUUUAGUUCCUUAUCUGAUCUCUUUCCCUUGCAUGUAACCUACUAAUAUCAUUGUCGAUUUUUUUUCUCUUAUGUUUGAUAAUUAAAAGAUAUUUUGUUACUGAAAAUUAAUUGCGUGUAUCUCAGAUCUUUUGUGUUUUUCUUUUAGUUUUGGAUUCUUGAAUUCUGCAGAUUUCCCUUCAAAGUUCUCUUGUAGGAUUAACCCUUUCUGAUGAUAUCCAUAAAUGAGAUUCAAGAGGUCUGUGUCAUGCUUGGAUUAACUUUGGAUUUCCCCUACAUUUGUGUUAUUUGAUUCUACAGGCAAAAUACAUGGACAAGGCAAGUGAUUAUCGCUGUUGGGAUGAGCUGAUACCAGAUGCCCUUGCUCUAAUCUUUAGAAAUCUUUCUCUACAAGAGAUACUAACAGUGAUCCCAAGGGUUUGCAAAUCAUGGGGCAGAGCAGUUUCAGGGCCAUAUUGUUGGCAAGAGAUAGACAUCGAGGAAUGGAGUAAAAGUCGCCAGCCUCACCACCUUGAUCGCAUGCUUCGAAUGUUGAUCACUCGAAGCUGUGGAUCCCUCCGCAAGCUCUCUGUCACUGGCAUUUCCAAUAAUUCUAUUUUCUCAUUCCUCGUUGAGCAUGCUGGAUCCCUUGAGAAUUUGCAAGUGCCAAGAAGCGAAAUAAGCGAUUCAAUUGUUGAGCAGAUUGCUGGAAAACUUUCAACAAUCACUUUCUUGGAUGUGAGCUAUUGCAAUAAAAUCGGUGCUCAAGCUUUAGAGACCAUUGGAAAACAUUGUAAAUUGCUUCUGGUCCUGUACCGGAACAUGGAGCUAUCAUCUUCAGCAGACCAGUUCCCACUAGAUGAUGAGGCUCGUGCCAUUGCUGCCACUAUGCCUAAGCUGAAGCAUUUAGAAAUUGCUUACCAUCGCCUCAGCGGCAAAGAAAGCGUGUUGAAGAUCCUUUCAAGCUGCCCUGAGCUCGAGUUUGUGAAUUUGACAGGAUGCAGGAAUGUGAAACUUGAUAGCAACUUCCUCAAGGAGAAGUUCCCAAAAGUGAGAGUACUGGGGCCUCAUCUACUAGAGUAUUACGAUAUGAAUGACUGGGGAGAUUAUUGCUCUGAAUAUUCAGAUGACUACUUUGCUUGGGAUAUCUUUUCUGUUGACAUGGGAGAUUAUGAUGACGAUGAUAGUUUCGAUGAAAUGUGGGAUGAUGAGCAAAGGCUGGAAGAGCUUGAGCUCAGGUUCUAUGAAGGAAUUGAGGAUGCUGAAUUAUAUGGUUGGCCUCCAUCUCCAUAGCUUCUGUUUCCAGUUUUUUCUUUCGUUAACUUUUCUAUUUUUAGCACUAAAUGCUUCAACCUGGUAUUUCCUUUAUGCUCUAUGAUUUAUAUAUAUGUUUCAAUAGGAAUGAAGUUGUAUGCUUUGUGUCACUCCCUCGUUACCUAAAUUCUCUUGAAUAAAAUGUGCGCCAUGGCUUGCAGCUUGCAACUUGCAACUUGCAACUUGCAGGCAAAGCAAAUACAGAGCAGAUGGUCCUUGAUCUAGUUGAAUGGACAUUGAGGCCUAAAAGUAGAGGCCAGAGGGUGAAAAUUUGGGUAGGCAUCUUUUCGAAGUAUUAGUCUAGUGGUAAAGGUUAACCCAUUUGAUAUUUUAGGACUGAAUAAUUGGCCCACAGAGAUAUUUUCAGAGGGUAAUUAUUGGUCUAUACAUUGAUGAUUUGUCCCCAGGUUGCUUGCCAUUAAGCAAACAACUUUAAACCCAACCAUUCAAUUCUAACGUUGUCAUUUCCUAUUGCAUAAGAUUGAUGAAUGGUGUAUUGAUUAUUAAGCUUUCCUUUUUACAAUCACUCCAUGAUAAAGGAGCAAGCUAAGGCUUUUUGACUUCAUAAGUUGGGCUCUUUAAUUAGUUUCAUUGAUUAAUGUAUGGACACUUGGAGUCUCUUCUGUGUUAUGUAGACAUUUUUAUAUGCAUGAUGUAAUUAUCGUAGUAAAAGGUGGCCAACAAAAAGAGUAUGAUUAGUUGUAAAAUUAAAG
rnacentral:misc_RNA from 1 species